UACGAAGGGGACUAGCGUUGUUCGGAAUUACUGGGCGUAAAGCGCACGUAGGCGGAUUUGUAAGUCAGGGGUGAAAUCCCGGGGCUCAACCUCGGAACUGCCUUUGAUAUUGCAAAUCUCGAGUCCGAUAGAGGUGGGUGGAAUUCCUAGUGUAGAGGUGAAAUUCGUAGAUAUUAGGAAGAACACCGGUGGCGAAGGCGGCCCACUGGAUCGGUACUGACGCUGAGGUGCGAAAGCGUGGGGAGCGAACAGG
rnacentral:rRNA from 1 species